UAUAUAUAUUGUAUUGUUAUCUGAAAAAGUAUUUUAGUAAAAAGUUAAAAACAUAAAUUACAUAAUUAAAUAUUAAUCAAAUAUUUUUUUUAAUUAUAUAAUUAAAUAUAUAAUAUUAAGUUAUUUUAAGAUUUAUUUUAAUAUAUAAUGAAUAUAGUGUACAAAGAACUUUUCAAAAGUUAUGAAAAUGUUUAACUCCGCAUCGCGGGCAAAACACCUAGUUAAAACUUAAACUAAAAGUACACAAAGCUGGCAAAGGUAUGAAAACCCUUCCAGAGCCAACAGCCAGCAUAGUAGACAAUACUAUCUGGAAUCAAGAAAAGGACCAAGACAACAACUGAUAAAGAAGGGAACAAGAUCAGAAGAAACUUUUGGAGUUAAAAACAAAUAUCAAGAAUGAGAAGCCACGAUGAUGGAAGCCGGAAUGAGAGAGAAAGCGAUGAUGGUCUAAAUUAUUGGGGUGAUAGCAAAGCUCCACCAACAGUUCCGAUACGGAACUACGAGCACCAGCCACUCAAGAACAAGCUUCAACUGAGGGAAGCCACAAGAUAACUGAUCUUCACCCGAGCAGCCGACGAAGAAAAAACUCGGUUUACAAUCAAACUACUCAAAGACCAAUCGCGAUUGAGCUAAAGCUCCACAAUUCCUACCGGAGAACCCGUCGGUUAAAAACCAAGGAACAGCACAACUUCACAGCAUCAUUGCUUCACAAAGACAAUACUCCAAUAAACCACAGGUCGAGCAAGGCCUUACCGCAUAACCUUAGUAGUAGUAGUUAAAACAAAAACAAAAUAAAAGGAAAGUAUGCGUGGAAACGUCAUCGUAUGGAGCUGAAAGGAAAGGAGUGAAGGAAUCACAUGUAGUAACCGGAUCCACGUGUCAGUCAUCUUGUCCAAAAAGCAGUGCUUUUUAGGAAGCUUGGAGCUGGGCUCGACGACUUGCUUGCCUUCUUCCGGCAUUGCCUCAGCUUCCUCCUCCUCCUCCUCUUCCCACAGGAUGAAGAAGAAGAUUCUCUCUGGCUUGCGCUCCCAAGGUGAAGAGAGAUCGAGGCUUUAACCCACCUCUGCGACAUUUUAUCCAUUGCCUCCGAAGACUCCCACCUUCUCUCUUGAUUCCUUCCUCCCUCUUCUUGUUUCUUGCUUCGUCGCCAUUCAAUACAUGGACUUGGCCGAGCAGGUUCCCCAUCCUAUCAGUUUUUGCUUUUCCUGAAUUUGAGAACUCAGGCAUCUGACUUGGCCGAGCAGGUUCUCCCUUCCUACUGGCACAAACACUUUGGUGAAAGGUUCUCUCAAAGUUUCACCUAGAGAAAAAUUACUUAGUGAUCAACCUGAACUUCUGCAGCAAUUUGGAUUGGAUCUUCUUCCAGUUUUAGUGCAGAUUCAUGGUUCUAGCGUCAAUGGUACAAAUACUAUGGAUACUUGAGUUCCAUUCCCCCUUUAGAUUUCAUUUGGUCAAUGUUAAUUUUCAUUUAACUAUUGAGUUAUAAAAGUUAGCUUCAAUGUUUUUCAGUGUCUUCA